rnacentral:rRNA from 1 species
UACGUAGGGUCCAAGCGUUGUCCGGAUUUAUUGGGCGUAAAGAGCUCGUAGGCGGUUUGUCGCGUCGACUGUGAAAACCUGGGGCUUAACUCUGGGCCUGCAGUCGAUACGGGCAGACUUGAGUUCGGUAGGGGAGACUGGAAUUCCUGGUGUAGCGGUGAAAUGCGCAGAUAUCAGGAGGAACACCAGUGGCGAAGGCGGCUCACUGGACCGGAACUGACGCUGAGGCGCGAAAGCGUGGGGAGCAAACAGG